rnacentral:snRNA from 1 species
AGCUUUGCGCAGUGGCAGUAUCGUAGCCAAUGAGGUUUAUCCGAGGCGCGAUUAUUGCUAAUUGAAAACUUUUCCCAAAUUAGUUUUAAAUAAUAAUGCUGUAAAUAUGUUUA